rnacentral:rRNA from 1 species
UACGGAGGGUGCAAGCAUUAAUCGGAUUUACUGGGCGUAAAGGGCGCGUAGGUGGCAAAUUAAGUCAGGUGUGAAAUUCCGGAGCUCAAAUUCGGAGCUGCAUUUGAUACUGAUUAGCUAGAGGACGAGCAGGGAAAACGGAAUUCCGCAAGUAGCGGUGAAAUGCGUAGAUAUGCGGAAGAACACCGGUGGUGAAGACGGUUUUCUGGCUCGUUUCUGACACUGAUGCGCGAAAGCGUGGGGAGCAAACAGG